rnacentral:rRNA from 1 species
UACGGAGGGGGCUAGCGUUGUUCGGAAUUACUGGGCGUAAAGCGCGCGUAGGCGGACCUGCAAGUCGGGGGUGAAAGCCCGAGGCUCAACCUCGGAACUGCCUUCGAUACUGCGGGUCUCGAGUCCGGGAGAGGUGAGUGGAAUUCCUAGUGUAGAGGUGAAAUUCGUAGAUAUCGAGAGGAACACCGGUGGCGAAGGCGGCCUUCUGGACAGUGACUGACGCUGAGACGCGAAAGCGUGGGGAGCGAACAGG